UCUGUUUUUCCUCGGCGCAUUAUUGUGUUACGCCAGAGCGGCCAACAGGAGACGAUAUACAGAUUGGCGGUACGUAGCGGCGUGUACCGCAUGCGUGGGUAUCGCUAUGCUGUGCAAGGAACAAGGCAUCACCGUCACCGGAGUGUGCGUUGUGUACGAGCUCUUCGUCGCUCAGAAGCGCCGAAGUUCAGGAGGCGGUAGCCGGUGGUCGUGGAUGGACGCGUGGGGCAAGGGAUCCGGGUGGGG